rnacentral:rRNA from 1 species
GAUGAACGCUGACAGAAUGCUUAACACAUCAGCAAUUGAUUGGUGGCGGACGGGUGAGUAACGCGUAAAGAACUUGCCUCACAGCUAGGGACAACAUUUGGAAACGAAUGCUAAUACCUAAUACUGUGAGAGAGCUUUGCGUCCCAUUAGCUAGUAGGAGAGGUAACGGCUCACCAAGGCGAUGAUGGGUAGCCGGCCUGAGAGGGUGAUCGGCCACAGUGGGACAGGGACGCGGCCCUUACGCCUACGGGAGGCAGCGGUGGAGAAUAUUGGACAAUGGGCCAAAGUCUGAACAAGCAAUUCUGUGUGCACGAUGAAGUUGUCGGAAUGUAAAGAGCUUUCAUUUGGGAAGCGGUACCAACAGAAGAAGUGACGGCUAAAUACGUGCCAGCAGCCGCGGUAAUAC